GUAGUUUUUAAGUGAGAUGAAACUUAGGCGUAUGCAAGACAAAUCAGACUCCUGAAAGGGGUACAGUAGUCUGGAAAGGUUGAGAACCACUGCUAUAUAUCAAAGGCAGCAAAAAAAGAGAACAAGUCCAACUUUUCUCCCUUUACAGGUCACCUCUAAUUUACAUAAUCCAGUUAUGACUUGUUACAUAGUACUUGAAUAAUUUCUGCUGUUUAGAAUAUUCUUGUUUUGUUUUACCUGUCCUUAGCUUACACACCUCUACCACGAUAUAACGCGACCCAAUAUAACACGAAUUCGGAUAUAACGUGGUAAAGCAGUACUCCGGGGGGGGGGCUGCGCACUCCGGUGGAUCAAAGCAAGUUCGAUAUAACACGGUUUCACCUAUAACGCGGUAAGAUUUUUUGGCUCCCGAGGACAGCGUUAUAUCGAGGUAGAGGUGUACUUACUGUAUUUGUUGAUACUGAAAUUCUGCAUAUGUUGCUAGUUUACUCAAGUCAUUUAAUCCUUCCUUUAUAUUGACUGUUCCUACCUCCAGUUUUGUAUUAUCAGUUUAUUGUAUACUCUUUCAUUCAUGAUCCCAAUGAUGAUGUCUUUUUCUGAUAUCUAAGGUUCUGGCCCUGCAAUCAAAUCCAUGCAGGUGAACCUCUGAAGUUAGGGUCCACCCACAUACUGUAGAUCCAAUUGCAGGAACAGGGGGCCAAACUUAGUAUUUGGUUAACACAUUGUAAAUUAGUUGUUUGUAUCAAAAUAUUUGUUUAAAUCCUAAAUAAAUUAUGACCAUAUCUUCUGCUGAUAGACUGUGUCACUUGGUCAAGGAAUUCUUUUGCACUUGACGAUAGGAAUGAUCACCUUCUGAAUCCACAUCAGCUUUCUUUAGAUGGGGGUUUAUUUGCAUAACAAAGUUGCAGGAGGACCAGUUUUCAAAGAGAGAUGUUGGUGGGGCCAAAAACAGGCUGACUGUAAAGGCCUCCUGAAGCCAGCAAGUAUUAGGUCAUGCAGCUGGCUCAAACAACAGUUUAGCGACCUGAUCCAAAGCCCAUUGAAAAUGGGUAGGAAUCCUUCAAUCGACUUCGAUAACCUUGAGAUCUGGUUCUAGCUGAGGAAGUCACAAAAAGGAUCCCUCUGCUGGUAAGAGUCAACAGGAAGGGCUGUUGGGCAGGAACACAGCAUUGGUGCCCAGAAGACAACCACGUGUCCAGUGAAAAGUUGCUGUUUGAGCAGGAAGUUUGCAACCAGUGAGCAGUACUUUGGGUCAGGGACUAUCUUUUUGGAUAAUUCGGAUAAUAAUCAUAAUAAAAUAUUGAAAGGUCAGAAAAGCACCACCUCAGUAUUCAGACUGCCAUCGGUUUCUAGGUACUUGGACGCUCCCCAUCCUAGAAUUAUCUGAGUGUCAGAAGGCAGCCAAGGGAAGUGGCCUGGUAAAUAAAGCUCAUGAAGGAGCUCUGUCUGCAAGGAAAAUCCCAGUUAAGGUAAUGGAACUUGAAAGGCUCUUUUGCUUUAAAGGACACUUGCUUUUUAGAAGGGUAGAUUGCUGUUCUGAAUAGAUAAGGCAGUUGCGAAAGUACUAACCUCUAUCUCUUGCUAGCCAACAAGGGCCAUGACUAUUAGCAAGUAGGUCAAGGAGAACGCUAGCAUUUGGAGCAAGCCACUGGCAAGGUUGACCCAUGUCUCAAGUGGGUAGCCCUACAGCUGAUUAAGAACACCAUUUUUUCCAUUUGAUCUAUUCAGACUCAACGAGGGGCUGGCCAAGAGGCAGGAAAAAUCAAAGUCCACUGGGCCCCAGGAAAUUAGCAAACCAGAAUGAGAAGAUGGGUUUGCACCAGUUCCCGGGAUACUAUCUGCAUUUGGCUGGAGGUCAAUGUGAGGUAACCCAUGUGGACAUAACAUGAAAGUCAUCAGGAGAAUAGCUAUCCAAGACAUGUAUCCAGACACUAGUGCACACAGUACUACAUUGUUUUCACAAACCAGAUUUUGACCCUUAGCCAGCAUAAGUGACAGAUCUCCAAAGAAUAGGACCAUCAGAGACUCUGUGAUUCAGACUCUAUAUAUUGUAAAUAAAGGGACUGACUAUCAUCUGGGACAUUAGUGAACUGCCAGGGGCUGAAACAUUCCUUAGUAUUUUAAAACAGUUGAGCCAGGACAAGUUUUGUUCCCUUUUACUUAGUAGUUUCUUUUUUACCAAGGAGAAGUAACUAUUCAAAGUUUAGUUUGCUAUUUACAUUUUAAUUUUUUAUUCAUCCUGUUGCCUGGCUUUUGAUUCUGUAUGAAUACAUGUAAAUAAAGAGUACAUUAGUUAUUUUCCUCUAAAAUUUGAGCAGCUUUAUUAUUUAAUUAGUAGGCAGAAUAAGUUAUCAAAGUAACAUCAGAUAAUACAAAGCAGCAUUUUGUUUUCUACAAAGAGAAAGCGGUCAUAUACUCCUUUCACUUUCUGGACAAAGCAAGAACAUUUUUAUUGGUGGCAGGGAGAAAAAACCUGUACUUUAAUAUCCUGACUUCUGUGAUCUCACCUGUCAACCAUUCAUUUCACCUUGUAAUCUCCACUUUACUAAACUAACAAAUCUAAUUUUUCUCACUUCCUGGAAGUUAACCUCUGGGCUCCUUAUUAUCCACAUUGCUUUCUCUUUACUUUUUCAAUUUGUACCCUCCAACGUUAUCACAAUGGACUGUAUUCUUAAUAGGACCUGAUCCUACAAACUACCAGGCCCAACAUAUACUGCUGCAAAUGAAUAUACACCAGGUAAAGUGUUUGCUGGAAAAGGUCCAUAAUUGUGGCUCCCAUUGUCAACAGUGUUCAUCAGAUGAUCCUUCUACCCUCCACAUAAGAACAGCAUCGGAAUAAAGAAAUAGUGGAGACUUACCUGCUGGAAAAAUUCAUCUCUUGUUAUUUUACAUAGAGUCUGGCAAACCUCGUUUCUUCUCCAUUUCUUCACCUUCUAAUAAGAAGAGUUUUUUUUAUGUUAAGUGGUAUUGAUUCCAUGGAAAGAAUUUAAACCUUCUCAAUCAUGAAAGCAGACGAGCCCUUCCUCUGCUAGAAAAUACCAGUGAAAUGGUCCCACAUGAUAAAAGAAAACACAUUAAAAGGAGAAUUCAACCAGUAGGUGCCAGGAAGGGGUGGAAUCUGAAAGUGAAACAAGCCUAACAUUUCUGCAGGGAGAAGAUUAAACAGUAAGUUUCUAGGAGUUUUAAAUACUUUGCAAUGGAGCUUAGUACGCAAUAGGCACUGUAAGAAAAAAAAUUAGGUCUUUUUUUGUUAUACACAUGUAUAUUGUAACACUGGAGUACAAUCAAAUGAGGGCCAGCCACUCACAUGACGGCCUCCAUUUUAAAAGUCCAGCUUUCCAAAUCAACAAAUGGUGCUGGAAGAGACUGGGUCGUGGAGACAAAGGUAAAAACUGAGGUUACCAAUCAAUUGGAGACUUUUCUCUGGUCAUAUGAAUAAACUAGUUAACUUUCAAACUGACGUCUCUUGUAGAAUCAUUGGAUUACCUCAUUUCUCCUCCCAAACACUGAUAAUACUGAAAGUUGUGCGUGGUGCCCUAGGUAUGACCUUAGUAGACAUUUUUACAGCUGCUUCUGAUAUGUGUUUUUUCCCUGCCAUUUAUAAAUUCCAUUGUUCUAUGAAUUUUCCUAUUUGUACGGAACAGUGAACUGAGGGUUUUAUUUUCUAUCCAGUAUCAACUACAGUUCCUUUUCUUGAACAGUUCCUUGGAGCUUGUGACCCUUUAGGCCCCGAUCUUGCAAAUUGAUCUGUACAGGUGCAGAGAUCCACCCAUGUGGAGCAGCUUGCAGGUUUAGGGCCUUAAUGUAUAAACCUUUUGCUAUUUUCACUACUUUCUUCAUAACUUUUUUUAUAUAUUUAUAUAUAUAUAAAUAAAGGGACCAGGAAAGGGAAUAGGGUUUGUGCCCUUUUUUGCUUCUUUAUGAUUUAUAAAGUAGGCUGAAGGGGUUGGGUUGGAGGAGAAGUUAAGGAUUUAAAAAAAAAAAAAAACCCAAUGGAAGAAACAUUAUUAAUUCAUAUGUCUACCCUAUUUUCCCUGCAAAAUAGUGACAACCAGGUUUACAAUCACCAUAAAUACCAAGAAAUACCUGACAGAGGUUGGCAAAUUCAGUUGACUGUGUAAAAUACUGGGGUCCAUCAAAGUUAACUAGGUGGUAAUAAAAACAGCUCUCUUACUUAGAAACAUCUAGCAGGAAAAUACAACAUCCUUCUACUCCCCCACUUAAGGACUGAAAAUAUCACAUCCGAGAGACUUAAAAACAACAACAAAACUUCACACUGAUCUUGGUAAAGUAAAACACUUACUGAAUUAAAAAACCCUAGCCAACCUCAGACCUUCUGUGUGCAUUGUUUAUUAAAAUAAUACAAUAAAAACCACCUCUCCCCUACCACUAUUGUAGAUCACCAUUGACUAGGUGACUACUUCUCAGACCAUGCGCCAGUUUACUCCCAGUCAUUUUAAACUGGUCCUAUUUCAGCAUUAUUUGCCAGCCUUCCCAGUAUAAUAUCAUUCUCAAAUGUCUGUACUUUCUGCAGGUCCUCUUCUAUUCCUAAAAAUUAAUAGGAGUGAGAACGAUUCUGUAUUAUUUUCUAAAAAUAUUUUUCAAUGUAUUGCUUCUCUUUCUUGAGGCCAGAUUAAUCUAGAUUAUUGAAGUACUACUUUGUUUUCAUAAAUUUAAAAACACCCUCCAAAAUGACAACAUUCUUCCUAGGACUAUGUCGUCAGUUAAUUGCAAAUUAAGAGUGAAAUCCUGGUCUAAUUGACUUCAAUGGCAGAACUCCCAGAGACAUCAAUGGGGACAGGAUUUAAUCUCAGAAUCCAGAUCCCACAAACACUUUUGCACAUGCUGAACUCUACUCAUGCAAGUAUCCCAUCAAAGUCAAUGGGAUACUUGAGUGUUUAAAGUUAAGCAUUGGCAUGAAUGUUUGCAGGAUCAGGACACAUUUUCAAUACAUCCUUUAUUCCAUAAUUCUAAAGUCUGAUUUUCGAUAGCAUAAAUUGCACUUAGGAAGAUUGGGAAUCCUGCACAUAAACUGCCUUGUACAAAAUUUGACCGUUAACAUUGGGUAUGUUUCCCUAGAAUGGUUUAAUCUAUCUAUGGGCAUAGUUGGGGAGGUGCAGGGUGGGUGUUUCUCCCCCAUACUGCCCUCCCCCAAUGUGCCCCAUUAGCCUGAAUGGAACUGCCCCUCCAAAUAUUGAAGUCAAACUACACCUGUGAAUCUAUCCUUUCCUCCUUCACAUCCCGCCCCCAAAAAAGAAGUUAGUGCUCUUUAUUUUUUGUGCACAUGCUACAAGGUUUUUGUUUGUCAGAUUUCUAGUGUAUACCUGUCUAAUUCAGAAUAUGGCAGGUUUGUUUGUUUUUUAAAGGGAGGAGAACAUCUAUCCUUGAAAUCAGCAACUUUUUCAAAGUAGCCUUAUCCUACAAUAUGCUAAGAAUGGGUGAAGCUUGGCCAGACUUUUGAGAUCCUGUUCUUAAAUAAUUCCUGGUUCCUCACACCUGAUGAACUGAAACCUGAGAUGGCAGGAAUGACAAAAGUUCUAUCAAAAUCAGCCACAGUUGCAGGAAAUUUAGAGGUCUGGGAUGGUCUCACCAUAUCCUAACUGAUGAUUCCUAGCCAGUGGUCUAAAGGGGGUGGGGGAAUUCCAAGAUCCCCAUUUCCCAGGGAAUCUGGGCAAUUCUUUCUUGCUCUCCAGUCUCGAAUUAGUUUAAUAUUGUUUAUGUUAGCAAGAUUCACUGUAGUUAAACAUCUAAUCCCAUUUGUAAUCUGGCAUACUAUUCUUGUCCAACGGCUCUAUCAUCCUCUGCAAGAGAGAUUCCUACACAGCAAUGUACAACUGCCUGCUUUUAAUUUCCUAUGAUUUUUUCCAUGCAGAGUUUGGUUUGCCCAUAUAGAAGAUGUAGCAGAAGAGGAACAGCUCAGACUCUCUGGGAUGAACUCAGCCCUUAGAAUGCAGCAAUUGUUACAGCAGGGUGGAGUGGGUAAUCCAGCUUUCCCACCCCAGGGCUCCAGCAGGAAGUCCAUAAGGUCAUCAUAAACUCAGUGAUCUCCCCCUCAACCCCCAGCCGUAGGAACGGACAGAGAAGCAGCUCAGACUCCCAGAACUGCUACAGCAAGUUAUGGGGAGGGAUACAACACCCAGAACAUCACCAUGCUGGACCUCUACUCCUGUAGGGUGCAAUUUGGAGGCUUCUCUGGCCCCUCCCAUGCUUCCAAGCUCUAGGAUUUAGAGGAUGUCCCAUUCUUCAGGGGGCAGCAUGUGUCCCUUGGCACCAGUGCUCUCCUAGGCUAUCAGAAGUGACAACUCCCAGAUAGAUGUGGUAGUCAUGCACUUUUGGAACCUGGGAGUGAGGCAGUCUCCUGUCUUAGAUGGCAGCUCCAAAGGUACCAGUACUGUCACGGGAUGGAAAUUCUUUGAGGAGAUGGGCAUUUGGAGUGGGAAUGUGGGACUUUAAGGAUGGGAGUGUUUGAGUAACUUCAGUUGUUGUAUGUUGUCACUGUGUAUUUGAGUUGCUCUCUGGGAACUGACAGGUGUGUUUAUUUUAGUGCAUUUUCUGAAAGCUGUCAAGCGUUCCCAAGAUGGCUGCUCUUUUAUAACAGCUUGUAUAAACCUUAAUAAAAGACACUAGCCUGCUUCUUUGUCACCAGGUUCCAACACAGGCCAGAACUAACAGGUGCUUUUCAACUCCAGUUAGGAGUGUGUCCCCUCUAUGAUGUUCUCUGAUCUAUCCGGGAUUCCAGAGGAGAAAUUGUGAAAAAUGCACAAUCAAGACUGCAUACUGUAAAACUUAGAAUUCUAAGUACACAGUCCCCCAACACGUACUUUAAUGCUUGCUUUUUGCUAUAUCCAUUUCUUUCCUCUUCUUGAGUCAGGGCAUGUUUGAUGGGGUGACUGAUUUUGUUUAGUUAAUUUCUGCAGGCUUGCUUUGCCAUCAAGUGCUUACAGGACGGAGGAACGGUCUUAACUAUUGCACUUCAAUAUUCACAGUCUCUUCUGGGUGGCUCUGCCUUCCCCCACCCCCACGCUAUCCACAGUAACUUAUCUUUAAUCUACAACUAUCUUCUACCCUGUACACUUCAGACCCUCCUUUGCUUGGCAUGCUCACCUCUCUAAAAAUAUCAUCCAUGAACUUUUUAUUCUUCGUAACAUUGUGUAGCAAGGAAAGUUGGCUCUCAAGAUCAGCAAUCUUGCUCUUAGCUGCUCAGGAAAUAAAUGCACAUAUACUCCCUUGGAUACCAGCCCCACAUCUACCACUCCUCAGUCCUUCAGACCCUGCACAAAAGAAAGAAAUAAUGAAAGAAUUUGGCAGCCAAAUCCCACUAUUUCUCCCUACUUCUGAAAAGAUUAAUUGUAAGAAAAAGAGCAGUGUUCAUUUUUGACAGUGCAACAGAAGUUAGGUACUGUGUGGCAUUAUUACCCCUCUUGCUGUUAUACACGUAUGAUGUUAGUCGGAGAUGCUCUUAUGAAUUUUUGAUUGUUUUUCUUUAGUCUUUUGUUGCUGAGAGAAUAAUAAUUAUCUGGCACAAAUAGGAAUCUCCAUGUCUCCAAGCAAUGAAAUUAGGUUACAAUCUUCUAAACCAGUUACAUUUUGUAAUUUUAUGGAAAAAUAAAUAUCCAUCCUUUUCCGCAUAUUGUAGCUAUCUUUCCCUGGUUUUUAAAACAGGUCUAAAAUAAUUUAGAAGAGUAGGUCUCUUUUUCCACUCUGUCAUUCAGCAGUUAAGGGUGUAAGAAAUUAUAGUCUGUGCUCAUGUUGAACAGUAGAUAUGUAAUUUAACAAAUGAACUUUCAUUUUAGCACAUUUUAGGUUAAAUACUACCAUAAAACCAUAGAUAUUUAGCAGUAUUACAUUUUUUUAGUGACACUAAGGUUAGUCACUGGAGCCAUUAUAUUCUCAGAUAAAUGAUAAUCACUCUAGUAUUAUUACUAGAAAGACAAACAUGCAUAAUAAAAUUAGUCAAUUAAAUCUGCAAGUUAAUUUUAUGCAGGAGGGGACAAUGCAUUUUCUGAAGUGCUGCUUUCUUCCAAGGAACUAAGGCCCCAGGUCAGUGGGACCUCAGCAUGGACUUAAAAGUUAAACACAUGCUUAAGUGCUCUCCUGAAUUGGGGUCUAAAUCCUUAUGAUUCUCUAGUCUGCUAUAAUGUCAAUAGUGAACCAGGCAAUGCUAGAUCACUUCAUACAAGUCAAGAGAUUAAUCACUUAUUUGCAAGAAAUGAAAAAGCACCACUCAGAAGUGGCUUUCAAGAAGUCAUAUAUAAAACCAUUUCUUGGUUGUUCCACAAAACCUUGUCAGCUGCCUUUUUUGUUGAUUUUGGGGAAAGUAACUUACCAUUAAAAAGAAUUAAUGGUACUAACUGACUUCUGAAAAAAAACAACUCAGCCAGAUAUUGCUCUGGUCUAAUAGAAAUCAAUAAGAAUUAAAAAUGUUAAUCGAGUAUUUCCCACAGGCAGGCUGAUGGAGUUGUCUGUAGCACUUUGUUUAGCACCAGCCAAUCACACAUCAAAAAAUUGGAAGCCAGGAUGAUAAUGAGCUAAGUCCUAUACAUUUCUUCCAUUUUCUCAUUGAAUCAACCAUCAUUUGUCCAAAUUCAGUUUGGUCAUCAGUAUAAAUACUCAAUCAAGAAACACAGAAGACAUUUCAAUAGACACCCAACACUGAGUCUAGGCCAGUGGUUUCCUAGGGAAAGAUGAUGAAACUUGUAGAGUAUCUCACAUUUCCUGUUGUAAUUUUAUAUAAAAUUGUUUCAGAUGUAUUGUAUGGAGAUACAAAUCUGAGCACUUCCAACUGCUGAAAACACAGGCAUCUUCACUGUUGCAACUAACCCUGCCUGAAGACAAUUAUUUUCAUGUUUACAGCUUGCAGGAUGAAGUAUUGUCAUCUCUCUUGACAUAUUACUAUUGAACAAGACCAACACUUCAGAUCUCCAGAAGUGUUUAUUAUCAAAGCAAUGACCUAAGAUUUCAAACUACCAUAGUUUCUGAGCACCUCACACCCUUAAUGGAUUUUAUCCUCAAAACACUCAUGUGAGAGAGGGAGAGUAUUAUCCCCAUUUCACAGAUGGGGAACUGAGGCACAGGUGAAGAUGAAGGGGCUAGUCCCAGGUCACACAGGAAGAUUUGUGGCAAUUGAACCCAGGUCUCUCAAGUCCCAGUCCAGCACUCACUAGAUCAUCCUUCCUGACCCACAUAGAAACACCUUAGUUAACACAAGUUAAUAGAGGAGUUGUACUUCCAUUGUUAUUUGGUUAUGUUUAAUAAAAUACAUUUCAAAAUAAA